rnacentral:rRNA from 1 species
UACGUAGGUGGCAAGCGUUGUCCGGAAUUAUUGGGCGUAAAGCGCGCGCAGGCGGUCCUUUAAGUCUGAUGUGAAAGACCACGGCUCAACCGUGGAGGGUCAGUGGAAACUGGGGGACUUGAGUGCAGAAGAGGAAAGCGGAAUUCCACGUGUAGCGGUGAAAUGCGUAGAGAUGUGGAGGAACACCAGUGGCGAAGGCGGCUUUCUGGUCUGUAACUGACGCUGAGGCGCGAAAGCGUGGGGAGCAAACAGG